GACGAACGCUGGCGACGUGCUUAACACAUGCAAGUCGAACGAAAAGAGGGAAAGAGCUUGCUCUUUCCGGAAUUGAGUGGCAAACGGGUGAGUAACACGUAAACAACCUGCCUUCAGGAUGGGGACAACAGACGGAAACGACUGCUAAUACCGAAUAAGUUCCAAGGGCCGCAUGGCCCAUGGAAGAAAAGGUGGCCUCUACCUGUAAGCUAUCGCCUGAAGAGGGGUUUGCGUCUGAUUAGCUGGUUGGAGGGGUAACGGCCCACCAAGGCGACGAUCAGUAGCCGGUCUGAGAGGAUGAACGGCCACACUGGAACUGAGACACGGUCCAGACUCCUACGGGAGGCAGCAGUGGGGAAUCUUCCGCAAUGGGCGAAAGCCUGACGGAGCAACGCCGCGUGAGUGAUGACGGCCUUCGGGUUGUAAAACUCUGUGAUCCGGGACGAAAAGGCAGAGUGCGAAGAACAAACUGCAUUGACGGUACCGGAAAAGCAAGCCACGGCUAACUACGUG
rnacentral:rRNA from 1 species